GAGAAAGUGACAGAGUGGUUAUGUAGUUGGCUUGAAACCAGCAUAUGGGGGUUCAAUUCCUUCCUUUCUUG
rnacentral:tRNA from 1 species